rnacentral:piRNA from 1 species
UGGCUGCCCAAGGCCUCAGACUUCCCUCA